GACGUAGGGCGCGAGCGUUGUCCGGAAUUAUUGGGCGUAAAGAGCUCGUAGGCGGUUUGUCGCGUCUGCUGUGAAAACCUGAGGCUCAACCUCGGGCUUGCAGUGGGUACGGGCAGACUAGAGUGCGGUAGGGGUGACUGGAAUUCCUGGUGUAGCGGUGGAAUGCGCAGAUAUCAGGAGGAACACCGAUGGCGAAGGCAGGUCACUGGGCCGCAACUGACGCUGAGGAGCGAAAGCAUGGGGAGCGAACAGG
rnacentral:rRNA from 1 species